GCUUGGGGAAAAAGUUAAUCACUGCUGAUACUAGAGAUGUGCCCCUCCAUGCCGUUCCAGUGUCACUCACAACUUUGCAGUGCAAACCACUGAGAGAAUAUACCACUUGACUCUCUGAUUAAAACCAGAUCCAUUACUGUAGACAAUGGGACAAGAUUGGAAGCUGUAUUGGCAUACAACAGUGCAACAGUGCAUUCUGAGGACAUCCCAUUAUUUUUGAAGAUCUACCACAUUUUUGGAGUUUUGGGUAGCUGGUAUUUAUGUGGGAAAAUGCUAAGACCCUCCAGCUUUAACAGCCACCUACACUGCUACCUUGUAGAGGAAGAUUCUCUCUGGGAAGUAGUGUUGCCUGGUGAAGAACUUGCUUUCCAUGGGCUGGAUUCAUACACCAACUCAGACGGAAGACUCACUGUUUCUGUACGACAUUGCAUAUAAAGAGCACUUUAUUCCCUGAGUUUUCCCUGAGGAUGCAUUGAGAUAUUGGAACCCUCGAUUAACACACAAGUAAAACUAACUCACCCGUUUAAAAGGAGAAGAUACCCUCACAGUAACCGACAGCUCUCAGGAAACAACCCCUUCAGCACAGACUUAUUUUAUUCAACUACCGGUGUUUCCAACUCUCCUGAAAUAAAAGCUAAUGGAGGAAAGUCCAGGCUUUCAUAUUGCUGCCUACAGAUCAAAGUGGAGGUCCCAGAUCAUACAAGUCCUAUUUGAUUCAAUUUGUAUGUAUACAUGAUGACAAAGUUGGCCUUCAAAUACUGCAACACAGGCUUCAUCUCAAGCUGACCUAUUCCCUCCAAAAUGUUGUGCAUAACAUCGACAGAGAAAUUUUCAGAGGUAUUAAAGUACUGUAAAGUAUUCAGUAAACAAUGCUAUACUAUAACAAUAUUCUGUACUGUUACGGGCUCGCCUGUUACUGCCUCCUGCUGGGCUGUUCUUGUUUGUGUCGCAGGUUGGGAGUUGUGCAGGUGUCCCGGUCAAGUGCCCCAAUCGACUUGAUGGACCUGCACCUAUAUAGGGCUACCUCGCAGGGGCAGGGGCUCUCUCUCCAGUCGUUGCUGCUGUUGGAUUAUUAAUUACACUUGACUGACUCGCAGCACAUUCGAUGCUUCUCACCACUGCAUUUAUAUUGAC